AGUGAACGCUGGCGGUAGGCCUAACACAUGCAAGUCGAACGGCAGCACAGUAAGAGCUUGCUCUUACGGGUGGCGAGUGGCGGACGGGUGAGGAAUGCAUCGGAAUCUACUUUUUCGUGGGGGAUAACGUAGGGAAACUUACGCUAAUACCGCAUACGACCUACGGGUGAAAGCAGGGGAUCUUCGGACCUUGCGCGAUUGAAUGAGCCGAUGUCGGAUUAGCUAGUUGGCGGGGUAAAGGCCCACCAAGGCGACGAUCCGUAGCUGGUCUGAGAGGAUGAUCAGCCACACUGGAACUGAGACACGGUCCAGACUCCUACGGGAGGCAGCAGUGGGGAAUAUUGGACAAUGGGCGCAAGCCUGAUCCAGCCAUGCCGCGUGGGUGAAGAAGGCCUUCGGGUUGUAAAGCCCUUUUGUUGGGAAAGAAAAGCAGCAGGUUAAUACCCCGCUGUUCUGACGGUACCCAAAGAAUAAGCACCGGCUAACUUCGUG
rnacentral:rRNA from 1 species